rnacentral:misc_RNA from 1 species
GAUGAAGAACGCAGCGAAAUGCGAUAAGUAAUGUGAAUUGCAGAAUUCAGUGAAUCAUCGAAUCUUUGGACGCCCAUUGCGCCCUCUGGUAUUCCGGGGGGCAUGCCUGUUCGAGCGUCAUUACAACCCUCAAGCUUUGCUUGGUAUUGGACAUUGCCAGUUUCUGGCAGGUCUUAAAAUCAGUGGCGGUGCCAUUUGGCUUCAAGCGUAGUAAUUCUUCUAGCUUUGGAGAUCCAGGUGGUUACUUACCAAUAACCCCCAAUUUUUUCAGGUUGACCUCGGAUCAGGUAGGGAUACCCGCUGAACUUAAGCAUAUCAAUAAGCGGAGGA